rnacentral:rRNA from 1 species
UACAGAGGAGCCAAGCGUUGUCCGGAUUGACUGGGCGUAAAGCGCACGCAGGCGGACGCGCGCGUGGGGUGUGAAAUCUGGCCGCUUAACGGCCAGGCGCCAUCCCAUACGGCGCGACUGGAGUGAUGCAGAGGUCGAUGGAAUUGCCGGUGUAGUGGUGAAAUGCGUAGAGAUCGGCAGGAACACCCAGGGGGAAACCAGUCGACU